rnacentral:rRNA from 1 species
UACAUGUGGGGCAAGCGUUGUUCGGAAUUACUGGGCAUAAAGGGUGCGUAGGCGGCUUGUUAGGUCACUGGUGAAAGUUUUCGGCCCAACCGGAAAAUUGCCUGUGAUACCGGCGAGCUUGAGUGCGUGAGGGGUGGGGGGAACGAGCAGUGUAGCGGGUGAAAUGCGUAGAUAUUGCUCGGAAGGCCGGAGCCGAAGGGGCCC